GACGAACGCUGGCGGCGUGCUUAACACAUGCAAGUCGAACGAUGAAGCUGGAGCUUGCUCCGGUGGAUUAGUGGCGAACGGGUGAGCAACACGUGAGCAAUCUGCCCUUGACUCUGGGAUAACUGCGGGAAACUGUAGCUAAUACCGGAUAUGAGGCUUGGAGGCAUCUCCAGGUCUGGAAAGAAUUUCGGUCAAGGAUGAGCUCGCGGCCUAUCAGCUAGUUGGUGAGGUAAUGGCUCACCAAGGCGACGACGGGUAGCCGGCCUGAGAGGGGGACCGGCCACACUGGGACUGAGACACGGCCCAGACUCCUACGGGAGGCAGCAGUGGGGAAUAUUGCACAAUGGGCGAAAGCCUGAUGCAGCAGCGCCGCGUGAGGGAUGAAGGCCUUCGGGUUGUAAACCUCUUUUAGCAGGGAAGAAGCGAAAGUGACGGUACCUGCAGAAAAAGCACCGGCUAACUACGUGCCAGCCGCCGCCGUAA
rnacentral:rRNA from 1 species